ensembl:lncRNA
AAUAAAAAAAAAAACAAACAGAGAGAGAGAUGUAUCAGUUCAACUCUCCCUGAACUCACCUUUGGUAUCCAUGACUCCUCUUUGGUAUCCAUGCAUCUGACUCCUCUUUGGUAUCCAUGAAAAACAUUCUUAGGUCCUCUGUAUUGCAUGUAUGUUCUCACAGACCUGGAUAUGAAAUACAGGCAGCUGUGGUGACCACGAUGAAAUCUCAGUUUAAUGAAAGAAAAGAGAAAGCCCAGAGAAGAGCAUUAAAGCCAGAGGCCAGCCGGGCCAACUGAAAUGUUCACGGCUGACUGCAGCACAGCACUCACUUGCAAGUACAGAAAAUAACCUACUGCACCAGAAAGAGAAAAAUGAAAUACCCAAGGACCACCAGCCGCUGCUGAGCCUGAAUCUCUCCCUUUUCACAUUCUCUCAUACUGCCUUGUGCCAUAGGAAAUACAGACCCUUGGAGCCUUGUGCCAUUGGAAAUACAGACCCUUGGAGCCUCGCACAUGAUUCCACAGCCAGGUGGCACACCUUGAAGACAAGAGAAGCGACACAUGGGUCAAUCAGCUGCACAGCAGUUUGUGUCCUUAGCAGGUACUUCAGUGUCAAAGGUAUUAAACUCAGUUAUUUUCAGUUCUGUGCCAAGAGGCAAAAAGGCCUGUUCCUUCUCUACCCCCCCAUUCUAAUUAAGUUUCUAGGCAAAGACUAUCAGCUAGGCUAAGAGUUGAGCUGUCAAGUUAAGAGAGAAACGCCAGCAAGGCAAAACCUGCCAGCUGGAAAGACAGAGUUUCUGAUGGUGGCUGUACUUUCUGGAAAUUAUCUCUCCAGUCUCAUCUUUCAUAUGUUUCCCAAUAUAUCUCAUCUUUCUCUCUGUCUCUCACAUACCCAGGUGCACACAGGCACAUGUGAGUUAUGUGCUAUAGUGUCUUGCUUUGGUGGAUUGCCUCUGUCUAUAUCGAAAUAUAUAUAAUAUAGCUAAGGGCUCUAUCCCUCUUCCAACUACAUCAGUGUAAUGCAGACUUCAUCUCAGAUGAUUUGACUCUAGACACAGGCUGUUCUGAUCUUCGGCAGGAGCUGGCAAGACCAUCUCUGCAAAUCAUCCCUAUCCACAUCUAUGUGUUCCUUGGUACAGCAAUAAUUGGGUUAACUGUAGUAGAAUCUCUACAAUUAGUUAUCUUCACAACAACCCCUAGAGUGAGGUAACUCAUACCUUCAGAAAGGGUAGCUGAGAUGCAAGAAUAUCGGAUCACUGAUUAAGAUGUUGAAAAUACUCAGCAGCAGAGCUAGAUUUCAGCCCCAAGAAUGGCAGAUCACCAUCCUCACUGGAGUAUCUCAUGGAGCAAGGCCCCCAGCAGGCAUUGCUGGCUGCCACAUGUGCUGCCUUCCUCUUGGCAGAAACACACAAAGAAUCCUUUUUUUUUUUUUUAAAUUAUCAUUAUUUUUUGUGAGGUCUUUGAUUCAAACCCUUCUCAAGCCAAUAUAGCAAAGACCAAAUCCUCUUCAAUUAGAUCCUGAUAAACUAUGGGGGCAUUUGAACUUGAAAGUGCAAAAUGUAAAAACUCAUCACCCUUAAGGCAACAAUAAACAGGCAGAGAAAUAAUUCUCA